rnacentral:rRNA from 1 species
AGCGCAGACGGUUAUUUAAGCAAGAUGUGAAAGCCCCGGGCUCAACCUGGGAACUGCGUUUUGAACUGGGUAACUAGAGUGUGUCAGAGGGGGGUAGAAUUCCACGUGUAGCAGUGAAAUGCGUAGAGAUGUGGAGGAAUACCGAUGGCGAAGGCAGCCCCCUGGGAUAACACUGACGUUCAUGCUCGAAAGCGUGGGUAAGCAAACAG